AAGAUGCACUGGAGAAAAUGCAGAAUAGUGCGUCUGAUCGAGAUGCAAAAGAAGCAUAUUCAUCCAUUAUGGAUAUUGCUACAGAUAUUGGGUUUAUAGUACCAAUAACAUCCUUUACUAAAAAACAUGUAAAACCACUGCAAGCAGCUUUUAUUGAAAGUCAGAUUUCCAGCUGCAAAGAUGAGCUAAACCAGUUUAUUGAAGGUUUAGAUACUCAUCAAGUCAUGAGCCUUCUUCGACAGCCAGAAAACAGGGCUUCUGCAAGAUCCCUGUUCAGUGGGAGGGUAAAACCCAUCACAGUUGGAAAAUUUAGAAAACUUCUAAAAUUUAAAUAUGCAGAGGGAAAUGCUAAUCAGGACCAGAGGGCCACUGGGAUAGGUUUCUUGACAUUCCUUCAAGCCAC